rnacentral:rRNA from 1 species
GACGAACGCUGGCGGCGUGCCUAAUACAUGCAAGUAGAACGCUGAAGGAGGAGCUUACUUCUCUGGAUGAGUUGCGAACGGGUGAGUAACGCGUAGGUAACCUGCCUGGUAGCGGGGGAUAACUAUUGGAAACGAUAGCUAAUACCGCAUAAGAGUAGAUGUUGCAUGACAUUUACUUAAAAGGUGCAAUUGCACCACUACCAGAUGGACCUGCGUUGUAUUAGCUAGUUGGUGGGGUAACGGCUUACCAAGGCGACGAUACAUAGCCGACCUGGGAGGGUGAUGGGCCACACUGGGACGGGGACACGGCCCAGACUCCUACGGGAGGCAGCAGUAGGGAAUCUUCGGCAAUGGACGGAAGUCUGACCGAGCAACGCCGCGUGAGUGAAGAAGGUUUUCGGAUCGUAAAGCUCUGUUGUAAGAGAAGAACAAGUGUGAGAGUGGAAAGUUCACACUGUGACGGUAUCUUACCAGAAAGGGACGGCUAACUACGUGCCAGCCGCCGCCGUAA